AUAAAAUGGCUGAGGAUAUAGGCGAUAAAUUGUAAAUUUAUUUACGAAUUAAUAUUCUUUUAUCAA
rnacentral:tRNA from 1 species